UAUCCACACACUCCCUCUUACUUUCCAGCCGCGGCGGAGCAGGAGAAGUUGGGGGCGGAGCAGGAGCGGGGAGGGCGAGAAGGAGAGUAGCAGCGAGUGCGGGAGCAGGCGCCCAGAGACGGAGAGCGAGGAGAGGAGCAGGUCGAGCGGGAAGCAGAGGCGGUGGCGCUGGAGGAAGGGGAGCAGUGCGAAGGCGAGCGGCAGGGACAUGUCGCUGGCGGCGAGGCCCCGGUGCAGAGCGUGCCACUCGUGCGAGGUGCGACGGCACGGCGGAGUAGGACGCGGCGAGGCGACGCUUGUGGGAGCUGGCAUGGAGGGUGGAGGAGACGGCGAGGUGAGAGAGGCGAUGGAGGAGGGGUCGGAGAGGUAGGCAAGCAGUGGCUCGAAGUCAUAGCGGCUGGCGGGGCCGGCGGCGGAGACGGAGACCGAGGAGGUGGUGCAGCUGGGUAUGGGGAGGCGGAGGCGCUGGCGCUGGUGGCUGUCUGCCGCUGCCAGUCCUCUCCGGGCUCCUCCGCCGUAUCCUUCUCAAUCUCCGAUGUUUUUCUCCCGUGUCGUGAUUUGGAUGGACAAUUGGAGGUCGUGUCCUUGUCCAACACCAAGCAAUGGAGUGCCCGACCCGGAUUUCAGUUGCCUGCUAUAAGAAUGAAGGGCCCUCGGCCAGAAUCUCCAUCAGGUUGCGUCCUUGUACCAUAAGCUCCAUCAAAGUCCGUUGCAAUUUUCGACGAAACGUCCAAUGUCGUCGCCGAGUUCACCGGAGGAAGAAGCGCCGAGUUCGCCGGAGGAACAAGAACAUCCGUCCAUCCGUCCAAUGUAGCCUGACUCGGCUACACCAGAGGUUUGUAUCCCCUUGAUAUUCACUGGAUGGAAUCCCAUGUUUUACAUAUAAUUCUAUCCCCUGGCUCUGUAUGCGAUUCUGUUCUUACUUCAGUUAUGAAAUAGCUUUGUAGUUUUAUGUGGUGAAAGUUUUAGAGGCUGUUGAUAGCUUUCGAAAGGUACUAAGUUUGUGCAAUUCAGCAUAAUGAUUAUGAAGACAUCGCCAAAUAACAGUUCCGUUGUUCUAGGAUUUUCAGUCCAAGCAGAUUUAUGUUUUGCAAGAAUUAAUGGCGACUUUAGUUUAGCCUGGCUGGAUUAAGGGACAAUACUUAAUUUUGUGUUGUAGUAUAUAUGUACUUUGUUGUUUGCUCAACGAAUUAUAUUAUAUCAAUAUCAAUAAGCCGACAUUGUUCAGGCCUUAUUUUUUAGCUAUCCCCUUGACCCCUGUUUCAGUUAUUUUUCUGUCCCCUGUCUUGCUGGCGAGCCCGUGCGUGGCUACUGUUGUUGCUCGCGCGCCCGUACGCGUCCCUGAUCCUACCUAAUUAUUCAUCGCCAAGGAUGAGACGAUUUUAGUUGCCAUGGAUCAUAUAGAUAGGCCCUGUCCAUCUUGAUCUCGAUUGAAUCUGAUUGGAUGAGCAUGAAUUAUUUGGUUCUGCAGUCCAGGUAAAAAUAUGCCACACAAGCUGGCUUUUGUCUGUAGAAUAAGCAUAAUUUUUAACUGCCAUGAGCGCGUCUACUAGAUCGAUUUGUGUUAAACAAACUUACUUGGUUAAGUGCAGGAAUGUCUAGCGAAUUAUAUUCAGGAACCUUUUGACUUUUCAAUCCUCGCAAAUAACCUUGCUAAGUUAAACUCAUAAUUACCUCGCUCUUGUACGAGAUAAUAGUAUGGAGUAGAACCAUAUGCAUCUUGAUCUGGAUUGAAUCUGAUUGGGUGAGCAUGAAUAUUCGGUUCUGGAGUGCAGGUCGAAAGACACAUGCUGGUUUUUGUCUGGCCAGUUAUAUUCAGCAACUUUUCUGACCUGUCAAUCCUCGCAAAAGAACCUUGCUAAACUUACAAUUACUUCUCUUGUGCCAGAUAACACUAUGAAGUAGAGCCAUAUGUUGCUGGUGACUGAAAUUGGUUCUGUCGUAAUUGGCUGAUUGCUUCAGUUUAUCAGUCUAGCUAAGAGUUUGUUUUCUGCGAAUGGUUUAGCAUGGCUGAGUAAUAUGUGUUUACUUCACUAAUUCAUAAGAAUUAUUUUCUCUUGCCAGCUUCAGCUGCAGCAGCAUCUUGCCUGCAUCAUAUAUUUUGUAUUAUGUUAUUGUGGUCAUGCUGAUUCUGAAUUUCUCCGUACUGCCGACUUUGCCGGAAUUACGUCCGCCUGUGUAGCCAAGGUUGAGAACUGAUGAUGGACGACGUAAAAACUGUUAAAGAGGAGAUUAAAGGAUGGAAGAUGGCAGCAGAGGAGGCUGAAGCUGGUAGAUCAAUUGAGCAAGAGUACCUCACUCAUGUGCAUUUAUAAUUAGCUUUUCCAAAUUAAUAGAUAGUUUCUGUCAAGAUUAAUACAUGUUGUUUGAUUCACUGUUUGAUUGAAGUCCAUAUUUGAUUACACGUUCACACAAUUUGCAAUGUUGUUUCAACAAACUAACAGUGUGAGGUUUAACUUCUUUUUAUUGCAGAAAAUGGAUGACAACACUUAAUCGAUCAUUGUUGAGGAUUUUGAAACCUGACCUUCAUAAAGAAAGCAAAAUGUUCUGAAUCGGGUGUUUUGAAAUGGAGGUUUAACUUUAUUUGUAAGGCCCGCUCGGUACAUCCACCCUGAGGCAUCACCAUCUACAUGGUGGAAGAGGUUCGACACUGUGGACAUCAGCGGCGAUGUUGUUUCCAAUACGCAGAAAGUGCACGACUUCGGUGAGGGUGCGCAAGGUUUCUGCAUGUCCCUCAAGUUCCUGCCCCCAUACCGUCGCUCUCGCCAACCACAGCCGGAAGCUUGGAACCACGGCCUGCUCUAAACGAGUCUCCAUCUGAUGUAUGGUACUUUGCCAAGGUCAAGGAGUAGCUUCCCGCAAAAAAAAGGGUUCAAGGAGUAGCACUAGCACCUCUGAAGCAGCAACAAAAGGAUCAAAACCACAUUCUUCAGCAUCCUACUCGGCAAAAAAAAAAAAAGGCGAAAAGACUGACUUCCAGAAAAAAACAUGAAGAAUUCUUCCAAGCACCAGACUGAGACAGAUUCCUUGAGACGUGCGCUUGAUAAUAUCAGGUGGUCAGGUUCUUUUCUAAGUUGAGGUAGGGUUGCCUCUUCAAUCUGUGAUAUUCAAAUGAGAGGGAAAAUGAAUAUAUAGAGGAAUAUAAUUAGAAUACAUUAUUAACAACCUCCAAAUUUUUAUCAUGUCUCAUGGCCAGUUCAAUACUUCUUUCUUAAUGCAACGACUGAUAUAUGGUUGUUUUCCAUGGCUAUGUUAGUAAACUUUUAUGCAAAUUUAUAUUACUCUCUUAUUCUCUAA